AACAUAUGCAGCAGUCAAGGGGUGAAAGAUGCUGGAGCUGCAAGUUUCAGAGAUUAUCUCACCCACCAUCUCUAUUUUCUACAGAAGGCAGCAGAGGUACUAACAGGCAGCUGUUUCAACAGGACCCCUCUGCAAGACUCCUUCAACCACAUGACGCCUUCACUGCUGUCUGCCCAGACAACUUCAUUGUGUCCACCAGAAGUCAGUAUGACGCAACUUCCCAGAUCACACUGUGAAAGCUGCCGAGGAGCUGAGACUUUGCCUGUCCUCCCUUCAAGACAGUGCACGCCAUAGUGCCUGCUGGGUCCUCGCAUCUGCCCCUGCAAUCCAUCCCUCCUCCUGACCACCAUGGCCCAUCCUCUGUAUUAUCCUUGUGGCAUGAGCCCACACCGCUGGGACGUGAGAUCUGUUGAAUACAUUUAUCUUUGUGUGUAUAGCCCCAUUUAGGCGCUGUGGGGCAGGAACUAAAUGAGGUAUCUUUUGGCAUCUCAAAAUAAAACCCAACACCUUGGA
rnacentral:lncRNA from 10 species